UACGGAGGGUGCAAACGUUGCUCGGAAUCAUUGGGCGUAAAGCGUACGCAGGCGGCUUUGCAAGCCAGGUGUGAAAUCCCCGGGCCUAACCUGGGAACUGCAUUUGUGACUGCAUGGCUAGAGUUUGUCAGAGGGGGGUGGAAUUCCACGUGUAGCAGUGAAAUGCGUAGAUAUGUGGAGGAACACCGAUGGCGAAGGCAGCCCCCUGGGAUGUGACUGACGCUCAUGUACGAAAGCGUGGGGAGCAAACAGG
rnacentral:rRNA from 1 species